rnacentral:rRNA from 1 species
AGCAAACGCUGGCGGCAGGCCUAACACAUGCAAGUCGAACGAACUCUUCGGAGUUAGUGGCGGACGGGUGAGUAACACGUGGGAACGUGCCUUUUGGUUCGGAAUAACUCAGGGAAACUUGUGCUAAUACCGAAUGUGCCCUUCGGGGGAAAGAUUUAUCGCCAUUAGAGCGGCCCGCGUCUGAUUAGCUAGUUGGUGAGGUAACGGCUCACCAAGGCGACGAUCAGUAGCUGGUCUGAGAGGAUGACCAGCCACACUGGGACUGAGACACGGCCCAGACUCCUACGGGAGGCAGCAGUGGGGAAUCUUGCGCAAUGGGCGAAAGCCUGACGCAGCCAUGCCGCGUGAAUGAUGAAGGUCUUAGGAUUGUAAAAUUCUUUCACCGGGGACGAUAAUGACGGUACCCGGAGAAGAAGCCCCGGCUAACUUCGUG